rnacentral:sRNA from 1 species
CAGAGAGUCGAGAGAAGAUUGAAAAUGUACAAAGCAAAUUGAAAUGGACUAAUUUUCCAGGACUUCAGCAGCUCUUUCUUAAGGGUUUUACCUCAGCAUCUACACAAGAAAUGACCGUGCACCUCCUCAGUAAACUCAUUUCUGUCUCCAAACAUACAUUGGUGGAUCCUUCCCAAUUGUCAGGUUUGUGCAGAAGAAAAAUGCCCAACACUUGUCAAUCUGGCACACAUGAUGAGUUUGUACAGUACGCACACGUAUUCCAGAGACUGUUCUAACUGGAUCAAUGUCGUGUGCAGAUACCUGCAUGACUCCUUCUCAGAUACAACAUUUAAUCUUGUGACUUAUCUUGCAGAGCUGUUAGAGAAAGGAUUGUCCAGUAUGCAGCAAUCAUUACUACAGAUUAUUUAUAGUCUAUUGAGUCAUAUUGACCUGUCUGCAGCCCCAGCCAAGCAGUUUAAUCUGGAGAUCAUAAAGAUUAUUGGCAAAUAUGUACAGAGUCCUUACUGGAAGGAAGCCCUUAACAUAUUAAAGCUGGUGGUGUCACGCUC